rnacentral:lncRNA from 1 species
CUUUGAGGGAAUUUAAAAACAAAAAAUUAAAAUUAGGUAUUUUCAAUGAAUUUUCAAAGUCCAUAUUCAAAAACUUUUUUGUUCAUGUCCAAAUUUGAUAAACAGUGGAGGACAAGAACUAAAUACUAUGUCUUCUUUUAGGGCCCCUCCCCAUUCCCCACUGCCCACCUGUCCUGAGAAAGGGAGGUUGGGGAGAUAUUUUAUGACCAUGUGAACUUUAUAGGAAAGUAAGUCCAUAUGUUUCUGAUGAACUUACAUUUAACUCAUCAAAAUGUGUGGUUUUGUAAAAGCUAUUUGAUGUCCAAACAGAUUCCUUUGGGACAAUCUUUAAACUUCUUAGUUCUCAUUCUCUAUGGCUCCCUCUCUCUCCCUCCCUGAUAAAAACUGAGGAAAAUGCUGUAUUCGGCCUUGAAUCAAAUGUCUGGAUUCUGGAGAGUUCUUAAGAGUUAUUUUAAUAGUUGAGAAAUCAUAGAACUACCUUGCCCAGCAGGUUAAGGAUGAGUGUUGUCCGCUGCUGGGGCACAGGUUCCAUUCCUGGGCCCAGAACUUCCACAUGCCAAGGCCUUGCCAAAAUUUUUUUUAAAGUUAUAUUUUAUGAUUUCACCCCUAUCGUGAGUGUGUGUGUGUGUGUGUGUGUGUGUGUGUGUGUGUGUGUGUGAGAGAGAGAGAGAGAGAGAGAGAGCGAGAGAGAGCGAGAGAGAGAGAUUCUGCAGGGAUGACAAUUCCCUCUACUUCAAGCCCAUAUAAUGGCAAAUGCCUAAAACGAAUUACACCUCUAGUUGUACGUGUAGCCCUUUGGGUUCACCACCAGUGAUUUCAAGGGUGCCUUACACUGCGUUCUCUUCCAAAAGAACAAAACACAGACGCUUUGGCAGGCAUUUGGCACAGCAGUUAACCAGGGGAUAGCAAGCGCGCCCUUUGCUUUGCCCUUUAUCAAAAUAUAUUCAUUCCAGUUUGCAAAUUGCCGUUUUUGAGGCCUACACCUCUACUCACACUAAUUUCUGCGGGUCAGACCUUGACCCUGAUUGGAACAAAACCCGGAGUGGGAUAUUCACAGCAGAGCGCCUCCGCCCCGCGUGUGUCAGAAGCCAUAUUGCGGCAAAUGCCUCACCCACCUUGGAGCGCAGCUUGUGGAACUGAUGAGGUGAGAGCGCGGCACAGCGGCGCGGGCCCCGUAAUCACAGGACUGAGGAAACACAUACAUCAUCUGCCACACAGGACUGUCUGCAUCCCGGUGGAGGUGUUCUCGAAUGCAUUUCUUCAGAUGCUGGUUUCUCUACGAUAAGCAGUAGACAGAUCUUCCAAAGGAGCAGCGCCUCAAGGAAUCUUUAAACCAGAGCAGCACGCUUGCCGGCUCCGGGUGUGUGAACUGUGAAAUAAAAGGCGGAGGGCAAAAGUGCCA